rnacentral:rRNA from 1 species
UACGUAUGGUGCAAGCGUUAUCCGGAUUUACUGGGUGUAAAGGGAGCGCAGGCGGCGCGUUAAGCCUGGUGUGAAAGCCCGCGGCCCAACCGCGGGACUGCAUUGGGAACUGGCGCGCUGGAGUGCCGGAGGGGUAGGCGGAAUUCCUAGUGUAGCGGUGAAAUGCGUAGAUAUAUGGAAGAACACCAGUGGCGAAGGCGGCUCUCUGGUCUGCAACUGACGCUGAGGCUCGAAAGCAUGGGUAGCGAACAGG